GCGGGUGUAGCUCAACGGUAGAGCUCCAGCCUUCCAAGCUGGUGGUGAGGGUUCGAUUCCCUCCACCCGCUCCA
rnacentral:tRNA from 1 species